GUUUGCAACUACACAUGGGGACAAAGAUCGUACAUUUUGGAGAAAUGUCCUCUGGUCUGAUGAAACAAAAAUAGAACUGUUUGGCCAUAAUGACCAUAGUUAUGUUUGGAGGAAAAAGGGGGAUGCUUGCAAGCCAAAGAACACCAUCCCAACUGUGAAGCAUGGGGGUGGCAGCAUCAUGUUGUGGGGGUGCUUUGCUGCAGGAGGGACUGGUGCACUUCACAAAAUAGAUUGCAUCAUGAGGCAGGAAAGUUAAGUGGAUAUAUUGAAGUAACAUCUCAAGACAUCAGUCAGGAAGUUAAAGCUUGGUCGCAAAUGGAUCUUCCAAAUGGACAAUGACCUUACUUUUUGUAUCUUUCCUCUUUUUUGUAUAUAUUUCAAUUUAUUUUCAAUCUCUUUUCUAUUUUAAAAUUAAAUAUACCUUCCGGUAAUCCGCCUCACUCAAUGUGACUCGGAUCCGCUAUUUUUUUAGACCUUAUAACCAGUACCUCCAUCAGAAGCUAGCCAUCAGAAGCUAACCAGCUACUUAGCUACUAGCUUUUUAGUCAUUGUUAGCCACUGCUAGCGUCCUUUACCUUCUGCACAGGCACCAACCGUAUUUUUUUUUAGCCUGGAUAAUACCUACCAGCCUCGGACUGUUUUUAUCCACUACAACGCUGGAUUCCUGCUGUAAACCCUGGACCAUUACUCCUGAUCCUCACAGCUUGCAAGCUGCCACCGAGUGGCCCAGCCUCGAAGCUAGCCCUGAGCUAGGCCCACCUCCCGGCCCACUCUGUGAUCACUCAGCUACCCAGCCAAUGCCUCCCGGACACGGCUAGAAUCCACUACUCCUACCGGAUACUUGCAGUAAGCUUUGGACCUUUGCAGCAGAUCAUCGUCGCUAGCUAGCUGCUACCGAGUGGAUAUAGUGGCUAAUGCCCCUGACCCGAAGCUAGCACCAGUUAGCUGCGAGCCAGGCGCAUCUCCCGGCUAGCAAACGAAAUGACUACAACUACAAUACCUCUGUCGCCAUCUCGCUCGGACUUUUUUGUCGACACGACACCCUGCCGUACCACCACGACUGGUCCGCAGACGUAAUUCCAUCCGCUGUGCCCUCAACCGGCCGUUGCCGAACGUUGGAGCAGACGCUUCUGUUACCCCGGCCUGCUAACUUUAAACGCCUUGUCUCCCGUGUGCUAGCGUAGUAACGACUACGCCACGGCUUCCCUGCUCCAUCUAUUGCUGUUCUGGACCAUAUGAUCACUUGGCUACAUAGCUGAUGCCUGCUGGACUGUUCAUUUAUCACGGUGGUGCGCAGCCUUCUGACGGAGUGCUGCGUACAGCAGCUGGCCAAACCAUCCCUGAGCGCUGCCGAGUUCGUGGCCCCUCUGGUUAAGAUCGACCCUGUGUUCUAUGACGAGGAAGAGGCCCUGACCGUACACAGGAAAAUUUCAGUCAUGUUUUUUACUUAAGCUGUUUGAUCACAGUUUGUCACAUCCUGUAUGUAACGCCCUGGCCAUAGAGAGGGGUUUUUGUUCUUUAUUUUGGUUAGGCCAGGGUGUUACAUUGGGUGGGCGUUCUGUGUUCCUUUUAAUAUGUUUUUGUAUUUCUUUGUUUUGGGCCGUGUGUGGCUCCCAAUCAGGCACAGCUGAAGUUCGUUGUUGCUGAUUGGGAGUCACACAUAAGGAGCAUGUUUUUCCUUUGGGUUUUGUGGGUAAUUGUUUCUGUUCAGUGUGUUUCCUGUCAGUACUGUUUGGCUGUUGGUUUUCCUGUUUUUUUUUGUAUAGUG
rnacentral:lncRNA from 1 species